rnacentral:rRNA from 1 species
GUACACUCCUGCGGGAGGCAGCAGUGGGGAAUUUUGGACAAUGGGCGAAAGCCUGAUCCAGCAAUGCCGCGUGAGUGAAGAAGGCCUUCGGGUUGUAAAGCUCUUUUGUCAGGGAAGAAACGGUGAAAGCUAAUAUCUUUUGCUAAUGACGGUACCUGAAGAAUAAGCACCGGCUAACUACGUGCCAGCAGCCGCGGUAAUACGUAGGGUGCAAGCGUUAAUCGGAAUUACUGGGCGUAAAGCGUGCGCAGGCGGUUUUGUAAGUCUGAUGUGAAAUCCCCGGGCUCAACCUGGGAAUUGCAUUGGAGACUGCAAGGCUAGAAUCUGGCAGAGGGGGGUAGAAUUCCACGUGUAGCAGUGAAAUGCGUAGAUAUGUGGAGGAACACCGAUGGCGAAGGCAGCCCCCUGGGUCAAGAUUGACGCUCAUGCACGAAAGCGUGGGGAGCAAACAGGAUUAGAAACCCGUGUAGUCC